rnacentral:rRNA from 1 species
AUUGAACGCUGGCGGCAGGCCUAACACAUGCAAGUCGAACGAGUGGCGGACGGGUGAGUAAUGACUGGGAAACUGCCUGCUGGAGGGGGAUAACUACUGGAAACGGUAGCUAAUACCGCAUAACAUCAGAUGUGCCAAGAUGGGAUUAGCUAGUUGGUGGGGUAACGGCUAACCAAGGCGACGAUCCCUCGCUGGUCUGAGAGGAUGACCAGCCACACUUGAACUGACACCCGGGCCAGAGUCCUACGGGAGGCAGCAGUGGUGAAUAGUGCACAAUGGGCGCGAGCCUGAUGCAGCCAGGCCGCGUGUAUGAAGAAGGCCUUCCGUUUGUAAAGUACUUUCAGCGGGGAUGCGUUACCCUCAGAAGAAGCACCUGCUAACUCCGUGCCAGCAGCCGCGGUAAUAC